AUGCUUGUUGAGACAAACAAGCAUGAACAAUAUCAUAUUGUUUACAAGCUUCUUAAGUUGGUAUUGAUUCUGCCAGUAGCUACUGCUAGUGUUGAAAGGGUGUUCUCUUCAAUGAGCCAUGUGAAGAAUAAGCUAAGGAACAAAAUGGGUGAUGAAUAUUUGAACAAUUGUUUGGUUACAUUUGUUGAUAGAGAAUUUUUCAAUCAAGUGAAGGAUGAAGAUGUCAUCAAUCUCUUCCAAAAAAGCAACCGCAAAGUUAUAUUGUAA
rnacentral:rRNA from 1 species